GGCAAGAGACAGAAGGCGGGUUCAAACCAGCUUAAAAUAGUUUAUUGGCUAAGAAGUGAAAUGGAAUCCAAAGGAGUAGCCGGACUUGGGCAGAGCUACGUCCAGAAGUGGUUCAAACGCUAUUGUUGGGGACCUCUCUCUCUCUCCACCUUACAAAGAGUGAAUCCACUGGGGCACCUGGGUGGCUCAGUCGGAAAAGAAUGCACCAUGAGAUGGACCAGAGCUAUCAGUCCCAUAAAGGCAGGAAUCAACACUAACUCAGACCUGUAACCAACAGCCUGUGAUCAAGCUGGAAUCCAUUCUUAAGAGACUUGAUCUUCAAUCACUGGGCGUCUCAGAACUGGCUCCAGCUUGGAACUUGGGCAACUGAUCAUGAGUUUCAACUGGGACCUCAGGUGACUGGAAACUCUGUGACAGCCUGUGGGUUCACCCUGGACACCUGGCACUCAGAAGAUAGUGGAUGUUUAUUGAAGGA